UACAGAGGCCUCGAGCGUUAGGCGGAAUCACUGGGCUUAAAGCGUGUGUAGGCGGACUUCUAAGUACCUUGUGAAAUCCCACGGCUUACCCGUGGAACGGCUGGGUAUACUGGGAGUCUUGAGCCACCUAGGGGCGAGUGGAACAAAUGGUGGAGCGGUGAAAUGCGUAGAUAUCAUUUGGAACGCCAAUGGUGAAAACAACUCGCUGGGGGUGUGCUGACGCUGGAGAACACGGAAAGCCAGGGGAGCGAACGGG
rnacentral:rRNA from 1 species